CGCGGGGUGGAGCAGCUUGGUAGCUCGUCGGGCUCAUAACCCGAAGGUCGUCAGUUCAAAUCUGGCCCCCGCAA
rnacentral:tRNA from 2 species